UACUUGAUUUGCUUAUAUGAUGCUUAAUUGUUUGAAAUUUUUGAAUCUAAAGCUAACAUCAUGUUUUUCGUGUGAUUGUUUUAGCAAUGAAACUCUGGUCAAAUCGCCCUCCACAAUGCAAAUCUGGUCACCUCCAUCAUAAUGCCUCCGUCUCGAGAGCCACCGCGUCAGAAAUUGAAACUCGCUACCACAUCAUCAGAAUACAUUGUGAAACUUUAGAUUUAACUACCCGGACUAUGCUCUUAAGGCAGACAUGGAGGUUUUCUCUCCUAUAAGUACACUUUUCAAUCCAACGGAUAUUAUACAAAGGUGAGUUUGAAAAUGAGAGCAAGAAUCGAUGAUUUGAUGAAGCAUGAAUCGGUGGGAAGGAAAGGGGAUUUCAUUAGUAGUGUCAUAUGGAGAAAAAUCUUACGACAAGUAUGGUGUCAAUUUGUGAUAAUAUGGUUUCUUCAGACAGUGGAGAAAUGGAUCUUUUUCUUCAUGGGUCACAAUGCUAAUAUAGUUUUAAACAUAUUUUCAACACAUUUGUCUUCUGUCAAGGUCCAUUUGCAGCAGAGGGCAAUCCUUUCCUUCACAGGUGGUUUAUACGGCCCAAUUAGCCUGAUAUGUUCUGGUCAGAUUAUGAUUUUCAUGUUUGCCCUUUCCUUCACAGGUGGUUUAUACGGCCCAAUUAGCCUGAUAUGUUCUGGUCAGAUUGUGAUUUUCAUGUAGUUAGUAUGUGCUGUUUUGCUUGGUUUUGUACAAUAUCAGAAGUCUUCAAUAUUUUCGCCUCAUUGGUUAUGCGCGAAAUCAAACAGACCUUAAUAGUGAUUGUGAUUAUACACGGCUUCUUCUUCAAUAAUCACUCUUGAAGAUGUUUUGGAAAAGCCAUAUCGCUGAAUCUGUAAUAUGGCUGAAUCUACAAUAUGGCCGAAAUGAAACUGCAGUUAUAUAUGCUAUGAAUAAUUGAAGAUUUCUACUGACACAUCUAAUAUAAUUCUUUCCAUUAUAUUGAUUAGUUUGUUUAUUAUAAAUUGAAACUGUUUUUGAUGUUUUGUUC